rnacentral:lncRNA from 1 species
AAUGUGAUAGAGGAAUGAUCCAGAGACUUUGAAGGACAGAACCUGGAAGAAAUUGCAAGGAUUUCCAUCCACAGCGGGGGAUGGUUGAGGAGGCUUGGAAUAUUGAGGGAAGAGAGAUUCCAGGUGGGAGGCAGUUGAUCUUUCUAUCUUGAGACAGCAAAGGUGCAGGUCUGAUCAGAGACUGGAACCUGAGCCUUACAAAAUCCCUCAUUGAACUUAACCACCAUUUCCCCCCAAAGAUACCAAGAAGUGUGGCAGAUACCGGAGAAGAAUAAGAACAGCAUAACAAGAUCUCGCAGAGCUCCUAUGACACCCCAGAUCUGGACAUUGGCCCUGCUGGGAUAAAGACUAGGGGUCACAAACCUGAACCUCUCAGAGACCAGGCUGGCAAGACUGAGUCUCUCAACUUUGGAGGGAGGGAAAAAGAUAUUUUAGACAGAUAGGGACUUCCUUUCCCCUCUUUGCUAUAGACCCCAAUCUUCAGACAUCUUUCUUAUUUUACCCCUAACCACAAUUUGUUAGAAUAAAGUUGUCAGUUAUCCUAAAUUGGCUUCCUUGUCAUAGUGGAAGAGGGAGAGAGCUGAUUUCUCUCUCUCUCUCUUUCCCCAAGGGAAGAGGUUCACCCAUUAAAUAAGUUAUUAGAGGGGAGUAAAGGCAGGGUUCGUGGGGAGACAUAUUUGAGGAAGACUGAAGGGGGGAAUCCAUCUCACCCUCCUUCUACCUUUUGGGCAUUUAUCAUCAACUCUUUCUCCAUUAUACCCACACCAACCCUCUACUACAACAACAGCCCUGGAAGAAAAUAAAGCCACCCUCCACACCCCCAGCCAGGACACCUCUAUGCAGGCUGAUGGAUUACCUUUGAAGUAAGAAGAAGGGGGGAGCUGCUAGGGAGUUGGAUGCUGUGAAUCUUCAUCAAUGUCUGAGCAAGAGAAAAGUGAGAGCCUGACUCAAUUAAGUUAAGAGAGAAAGAGAAAAAAAAACCACCAACUGCCCAGAGAAGUGGGUUAAGGCAGGGAAGAUGCUAAAUCAUGCAUGUAAUUUCCAAAGUGGCAGCGCUUAAAAUCAGCUCUAAGUAAGCCCAUGGUAUAUUUUCUUUUAGAAAAAUAAAAUAAAAUAAUUAAUGAUGAAAU